UACAGAGGGUGCAAACGUUGCUCGGAAUUAUUGGGCGUAAAGCGCACGUAGGCGGUGUGUUAAGUCGGAUGUGAAAGCCCUGGGCUCAACCCAGGAAGUGCAUUCGAAACUGGCACACUUGAGUAUGGAAGAGGGUCGCGGAAUUCCCGGUGUAGAGGUGAAAUUCGUAGAUAUCGGGAGGAACACCAGUGGCGAAGGCGGCGACCUGGGCCAAUACUGACGCUGAGGUGCGAAAGCGUGGGGAGCAAACAGG
rnacentral:rRNA from 1 species